AAAAAUUUAUGAAAGCUCAACAAGACAAUAAUUCAAAUCUCAUAGAUAUGGAAAACCACCAUCUGAGAUCUAAACAACACAACAACACAAUCGGGAAGCUUUUUCAGGACAAUAAAAUUACUCUUUCCUCAGAGCCCUCUCCCUUUCCACUCUAAUGUCUCUCCCUCUUCUUCUCUUACUGCAGUGAAUCUUUGCUGGCUCUUCUUCUUAUUUUUCUUUACUGAGCAAUUGUGCUUGCCCUUCAACGCCCUCUAGCAGGCCUUAAAGAGGGCCUUCAUCACACUGCAAGCUCUCAAUGGAUUAGGUUUUCCCGUGGUUCAUCUCUCCCUGGUGAAGCUCUUGUUGAUCUCUCAAGGGGAAGGAAAUGGUUGUCAAGACUGACAUUUGCCACUUAAUUGCAAGGGAGCAUAAGUUUCAAUCUCGGGCUUGCAAGGGAUAUGAGGGUGAGGUUCAUUACAGGUCUAGCUCUACUUUGGUUCUGGUUGUUUUCACCAGUUGUAAAAAGCCACAUACAGUGAAACCACCCAAUUCCACAUAGUCCAAGGCUCCCCACUCUCGUCAUCCUUUCGCAUAUUUUAUUUGUGUGGCACAUGCUCCUG